rnacentral:rRNA from 1 species
CCUACGGGUGGCAGCAGUGAGGAAUAUUGGUCAAUGGACGAGAGUCUGAACCAGCCAAGUAGCGUGAAGGAUGACUGCCCUAUGGGUUGUAAACUUCUUUUAUAUGGGAAUAAAAUGUUCCACGUGUGGGAUUUUGUAUGUACCAUAUGAAUAAGGAUCGGCUAACUCCGUGCCAGCAGCCGCGGUAAUACGGAGGAUCCGAGCGUUAUCCGGAUUUAUUGGGUUUAAAGGGAGCGUAGGUGGAUUGUUAUGUCAGUUGUGAAAGUUUGCGGCUCAACAGUAAAAUUGCAGUUGAAACUGGCAGUCUUGAGUACAGUAGGGGUGGGCGGAAUUCGUGGUGUAGCGGUGAAAUGCUUAGAUAUCACGAAGAACUCCGAUUGCGAAGGCAGUUCACUGGACUGCAACUGACACUGAGGCUCGAAAGUGUAGGUAUCAAACAGGAUUAGAUACCCCGGUAGUC